rnacentral:SRP_RNA from 1 species
GCCAGGUGCGGUGGUACACACCUGUAGUCCCAGCUUCUCAGGAGGCUCGCUUGAGCCCAAGGAUUCUGGGCUGUUGAUGCUGAUUGGGUGUCUGUACUAAGUUCAACAUCAAUACGGUGACCUCCUGGGAGUAGGGGACCACCAGGCUCCUAACAAGGGGUAAACCGGCCCAGGUUGGAAGCAGAGCAGGUCAGUUCUCCCAUGCUGGUCAGCAGUGGGAUGGUGCCUGUGACUAGCCCCUGGGCAACAUAGCUGAGA